CUCAGGAAUUCCCUCCUCUUCCCUAAGCCGUCUUAAAUCAUCAACAUUCUCCAACCCUGGCUUCUCUCCUUUCACUUCUUGAAAAGAAAACUGAUGGUCAUCUGGAUGAAAAAGUCUAAAGUAAUCCCAUGGUGGAGUUCCUGGUGGGACUGAAGAAGCUUCAAAUGGUGAUGUUUCAGGUUUUUCAGCGGAAAGAGGUGUAAUAUUCUGUGGGGUACUAGAUGAGGUUACUGUCCCUGUAACAGCUACAGGAGGUUUCUCUUCAACUUUUUUGGAAGAAAACCCUCUAAAUUUCAUGUGAUUUGCCUGAAACCGACUGGAGCUGGGAGGAGACGGUGAUGGAGAAAGGUUUGCAUCCACAGGGUGUGAUAAAGGUGGAGAAGAGGUUGAGAAAUGUGAAAGGGACUUCUCUACUAAAGCAAAAGGCUCUGGCGUUGCAUUAGUGGAAGUGUACAAUGAAGAUUCAGUUGGAGCUUCAGAUUCAAUAAACUUCCUUAGAGCAGUUCCAGUAUUUUUCAGUGACUGGAUAUAUGUAACAUGAGCUGCAGCAAGUGAGCACCUGCCAUCA
rnacentral:misc_RNA from 1 species